rnacentral:rRNA from 1 species
GACGAACGCUGGCGGCGUGCCUAAUACAUGCAAGUCGAGCGGACCAAAGGGAGCUUGCUCCUGGAGGUCAGCGGCGAACGGGUGAGUAACACGUGGGCAACCUGCCUGUAAGACUGGGAUAACAUCGAGAAAUCGGUGCUAAUACCGGAUAAUAAAAAGAACUGCAUGGUUCUUUUUUGAAAGAUGGUUUCGGCUAUCACUUACAGAUGGGCCCGCGGCGCAUUAGCUAGUUGGUGGGUAACGGCUCACCAAGGCGACGAUGCGUAGCCGACCUGAGAGGGUGAUCGGCCACACUGGGACUGAGACACGGCCCAGACUCCUACGGGAGGCAGCAGUAGGGAAUCUUCCGCAAUGGACGAAAGUCUGACGGAGCAACGCCGCGUGAGUGAUGAAGGUUUUCGGAUCGUAAAACUCUGUUGUUAGGGAAGAACAAGUGCCGUUCGAAAGGGCGGCACCUUGACGGUACCUAACGAGAAAGCCACGGCUAACUACGUGCCAGCAGCCGCGGU